rnacentral:rRNA from 1 species
UACGUAGGUGGCAAGCGUUAUCCGGAUUUAUUGGGCGUAAAGGGAACGCAGGCGGUCUUUCAAGUCUGAUGUGAAAGCCUUCGGCUUAACCGGAGUAGUGCAUUGGAAACUGGGAGACUUGAGUGCAGAAGAGGAGAGUGGAACUCCAUGUGUAGCGGUGAAAUGCGCAGAUAUAUGGAAGAACACCAGUGGCGGAAGCGGCUCUCUGGUCUGUAACUGACGCUGAGGUUCGAAAGCGUGGGUAGCAAACAGG